rnacentral:tRNA from 1 species
GCAGGGGUCGCAUAGUCUGGUCAAUUGCACGAGGCCUAGGACCUCGCGGGUUAGUCCCUACGGGAGUUCAAAUCUCUCCCCCUGCA